CUGAUAGGAACUUUGAGGCAACAUGGGGCCCAAAGGACCAUCAGAAUCGGACGGGUCACCGAUUUGGCUGCGGCGCUGCGGUCAUGUAUAGCCUAAUUAGCCAGAGCUAUAGCAUUCGCGAAAACCAGAGGAAUAGGCUACCCUUUCAGGUAAAUCAUAAACGGGCUUAUUUACAUGUUAUAGCUCCUAGCUCGUUAUAUCCUGACGUCACCUGGGUUUUGCCUGGCUCUUACGUCGUUGACGACUAGACCGCUGACAACUUUAUUAAAUAUGGCAGAUAUCAGGUGGUCAACGGUGGCCUGUCAUCAUGCUGUGUAGUCCAACUGACAGACAUGCCAGGCUAUAGCUUUGCACUCCAAAGCACUGCUGACAAGAACCAGUGUGGUCACAUUUCUGGAGGUGGCUUCCUAUCGUUCCCCCCCGAGGGAUGCAACAGUAUGGCCCAGCACUCCAGCUGAACACUCUGGA